UGUUAGUAUUAAUGAGUGACGAACGGAAGACUCGGAGGUUAUAUUAAGAACGUAAGAAAAUUAACGAAAUUAGGCCAGAGAAUAGACGAAGGCNGAGUUUUCAAAGGAAAACAAAGGACACGGGCCUCAUUCCCCGUGUAAGCAAACUUGGGAACUGAAACAUCUUAGUACCAGGGAUAUAAAUCAAGCGAGAGACCGUGAGUAGCGGCGAGCGAAAAUGGGAAUAGAAGAAUCGAAGACCAAAGAGGGUGACAGCCCCGUAGGUUCUAACCCCCUCAGGGGGUGGUUGUAAAAAUCAAGAGUAGAACAACUUGAAGAAAGGUGUACCACACAUCUAAAGUUAAAUAAUAUACCUACCGAUAGACAAUAAGUACUGUGAAGGAAAGUUGAAAGAGAUAAUAGUGAAAUAGAGCCGGAAAUUAGUUAACUCACAAGCAGACGAGACCGUCGUACCUUUUGUAUAAUGGGUUCGCAAGGAAAAUAUUUGGCAAACUUAAACGAAUAAAUGUAGGUGUAGUGAGGACGAGUCUUAACAGGACAUUUAGUCAAAUAUAACCCGAAACCAAGUGAUCUAACCAUGGGCAGUUUGAAACCCGACGAGUAGACGGGAGGAGGAACGAACCGGUGAUUGUGGCAAUAAUCUCGGACGACCCGUGGUUGGGGGUGAUAAGCCAAUCGAACUUGGAAAUGGCUGGUUUUCUGCGAAAACUAUUGAAGUAGUGCGUUAUAUUCUAUUCUUAUAUGGUGAAGCACUGAAAGAAUUUAGUAUUUAAAUUCAACCAAACUAUAAAUAUGUAAGAAGAAAAUAUGAUAGACAGACAGUGGGCGAGGAGGUCCAUUGUCAAAAAGGAAACAACCAAGAUCAGAAGUUAAGGCCAUAAAAAAUUUCUAAAAGUCAAAGGGGUAACGGAAAGAGACAAUGAGAAAGUAGGCUUGGAACCAGCCACCUUUGAAAGAUUACGUAACAGUUGACUCAAUAAAUUUAUAAACCCCGAAAAUUAGGGUGGCUUAAGUUUUUCCCCGGACGCGGGCAAGGCCGAAACUCUGAAAACAUAUGGUAGCAGAUACGUACUGUAGAACCUUUUAUAGGAGGAAGAAGCGAGUGCGUUUAUCAGUAGUGAUAAUGCGAACAUGAGUAAAAAAGCAGUGUGAGAAACACCGCUCACGGCCCAAGGUUUCCAAUUAUAUGAAAAUCGGAGUUGGGUUACACGGCCCCUAAGAGGCAUGAGGCCGAUGGGUUGUAAAUACCGGACCCCCAUGUGGGGCGUCCGACUGUACUAAAACUAACACAAGUGGGCCAAAAAGUGAUGGUGUAAUUUAUUUUAAGGAACUCGGCAAAUUGUCCCCGUAAGUUCGCAAGAAGGGGAGCCAGAGAUGGCCGAGUAGCGGCCAAGGCCCCAGAAAAGAGGGGGUAUCGACUGUUUACCAAAAACAUAGCCUCUGACAAAAGGCCAAGGGCCCGAGGGAGGUGAGGCCUGCCCAGUGGUUGAAUCUAAAACCAAGUAAUAAAGUAAGUUAAUUUGGCUAAAGACAAUUAAAUGGCCGCGGUAAACCCGACCGUGAUAAUGUAGCGCAAUCAAUAGCCAAUUAAUUGUUGGCAAGUAUGAAUGGCUUAACGAAUGCCCCACUGUCUUAAAAUAAAAACCAGAGAAAUUGAAUUCGUAGUGAAGAUGCUACGUACAAAUUGUUAGACGAGAAGACCCCAUCGAGCUUUACUGGAGACUAUUAUCGCCUCUUAUAAAUUCAUUGUGGCAUACCACUCAUUAAAUUUUAAGAGUGCUAAAAUCAAGCUUCCCGGGGUACCGGGAAGCAGAGGGAGAUUAAAGAUGUUAGUCAGACAGUUUAGUUGGGGCGACAGCCUUCUAAAAAGUAACGAAGGUGAACAUAAGGCAAGGAGAGUAAUAGCAUAAAAGAGAAGCCUGACAGCUAGGUGGACAGACCGAGCUGACACAGACCAGGGGGUUUGACACCCCGUGAUCCGUGGGUUAUAUUGACCCGUUAGUUUAAAGUGGAAUAACUAACGAGCAACGAAUAAAAGUUACCGUGGGGAUAACAGCGUAAUAUCGUUCAAGAGUUCAUAUCAACGACGGUGUUUGCGACCUCGAUGUUGAAUUGUGGUGUCCUGGAGGUGCAGCAGCUUCCAAGGGUUGGACUGUUCGUCCAUAAAAACCGCACAUGAUUUGAGUUCAGACCGGCGUGAGCCAGGUCGGUUUCUAUCUACAAUUUGUUAAGGAAACAAAAUUAGAUAUAACUAAACUCUAGUACGAAAGGAAUGAGUACUUAGUUUUCCUCUGGUGCACCAAUUGAGGCAGAGAGGGCACACAGGGCAUCACCCUGGCCGUGACCUAGUGUACUGUUGGGUGGCUACGAAAAAAAAUAAUAAUUACUGAAGGCAAAUAAAGUAAGAAGUUUAAUAUCAAUUAUGUUUCUUCUCCCCUAGUCAACUCUGACCGGAGGUAGCUAGGGUUGGGGGCAGCUGUUUGAGAAUAAAACGUAGAUAGGGUCUAGGUGUAUAUGCUGAAGACUACUAAAUGCUCUUUACUAACACC
rnacentral:rRNA from 1 species